rnacentral:lncRNA from 1 species
AGACAAAGCCUGAUCCAAGGCAGAGGGUUGCAAUUAGCCCCACAAAGUGCAUUAGGAACAUCAAGGGGGGGCCGGUGGAGACAGACAGAGACGUCUGACAGAGGAGAAAGUUGAUAAGGGAGGUGCAUCUGGACACUUACUACUGUAACUUCUGCUAACAGUGUGGCGACUCCCUCAGGUAACACAUGUCGUGGUAAGCCUAGGGACUUGUGACCAUGUGCUGAGCACUAUUCGAAGCGCCUAACUACGUAUUAACUCACUUAAUUCCUACAACCCCACAAGGUGGGUGGGUAAACCAAGGCACGGGAAGCUGCUCAUUAGCCUGUGGUCAAACAGUUAAUGGUGGCAGAGUUGGGUUUGAACCCAGGUGGCCUGGCCCAGCAUUUUUGUUCUUGACCACUAGCUGUUCUGCUUCUCCGUCACCUUCUCAGAUCCUUUCAAUGAGUCCUAUUGUUGUUACAGAAACUUCCUAUGUUCUGAAGUUGAAAAUAAUUUUGAAUCACGAUUCUCUCAGUUAUUAACUAUAAUGCCCUUUUUUGUGUUAUCAGGAGGUUAGAUAAAUAUGCCUCCUAUGUCUCCGUGGCACUUGCACAGAAAGCCUCUGGGAUAAUCAGGACUCUGUGGCUACACUCACCUGCUGAACUGCUGGACAGCCCCUCAGAGCUCUGCUGGUGCCCUUCCUCUCCCUCGGGUGCCUGUGAGUUCCCUCAGCCUCUCCCGUUGCCCUCAGGCUUACGUGGCCAGAUCCUCCUUGAAAAUCCAAUAUUUAGGUAAGUCCAACCAAUCCUUGGCUUCAGACAGACAACUAUCCUUUCUUGAGCUCCUUCCUCCCUCUAGGCAAAAAUCAAACAACUUCUUACAUUUCUACAGGUCAUUAACGUUUACAAAGUGCUAUACUUUUUAGUAUCAACAGUAUUCCCAACAACUUUGUGGUGUGGGGUUAACAUAGGAUUACAGGUUUGCUUCUCCCCAAAAUCACGUGGCUCUAAGUGGCAAACAGGAUGGGACCCCACGGGCCUGUAAAUGCAAUCGUUAUAUAUAGACAGUAUAUGGAGGGGACAGAACUGUUUAAAAUGGUAAUAAUAAUAUAAAGUCAAUAUACGUGAUGUUGUUGGUUUUACACAGAACAGUUGAAGCCUACUUGGUCACGUAGAACAGAAGAGGAACCGUUCUUUGAAAGAAACCCAAAACAGGACUCUUGACAAAGAGCAAAUACAUUAACAUGUGUGUCAGAAAAGAAAUGUGAGGUAAUUUUGUAAAUCUUGUCAGUAAAAAACUGACAGGCCUUUCAUAUUUUUACUGUUCUCUCAUGGAUUUGGAAUCAUAUUUGCCAAAAAAACAAUAAACACUUGCCAUGUGAAGAGUCCAAGGCCUCAAGUCCCCACCCCAGCUCUGCCCUGUACAAGCUGCAUGUGCUGUGGUGGGUGAGUCAGCUCCACGGAGCCCUGGCCCCUCUUUGCCAAGUGGAGAAAUCAUGUCCACCCCCAAAGGAUUGUUUAUGGUGAUUAGUUAAGGUACGUGCACAAAAGCAUAAGGCAUAAAGUAAGAGAUGUUAAUACGAGGGCUAACUUUAACAUAAUUUUAUAUGAAAACUUUAUUGGGUCAGCACAAGGUAAUGUACUUCAUUGCCACGAAGUAUAUUAAAUGUUAGAUAUCUUUUUUUUUAAUGUUUAUUUUUUGAGAGAGAUAGAGGGUGAGCGAGGGAGGACAGAGGGAGAGGGAGACAUAGAAUCCGAAGCAGGCUCCAGGCUCUGAGCUGUCAGCACAGAGCCCGACACGGGGUUCGAACUCACAAGCUGUGAGAUCAUGACCUGAGCUAAAGUCGGACAUUUAACUGACUGAGCCACCUAGACGUCCCACUUUUUCUUUUUUUAAUGUUUACUUAUUUUUAGGAGAGAGAGAGAGACAGAGAGAGAGAGAGAGAGAGAGACAGAGAGAGACAGGGAGUGGGGGAAGGGCAGAGAGAGAGGGAGAUGCAGAAUCCAAAGAAGGCUCCAGGCUCUGAGCUGUCAGCACAGAACUUGACACAGGGCUUGAACCCAUGUACCGUGAAAUCAUGACCCGAUCCGAAGUCGGACACUUAACUGAUUGAACCAGCCAAGUAUAUUAAAUGCCAGAUUUCUUACCAGAGAUUCUCGGCUCCCACAUGUGGCAAUGAAAUCAUCCCUCCGAGCGCGUCAUCAUGCACCAUCUGAAUUCUUUGCUAGCUUUGUAAGGGACAAGAACCAGCACACGAACAGAAGAGACGUAUGGAACACCCUCCGGUCAUCGUGCGUCUAUGGGUGUGACGUUGGGGAGGGGCUGUGGGAAAACGAGGCCACUCGCAGGAGCUGCGCAGCCGGGAGGCGUGUCUGAAGGCCCAAGCCCCGCGGUCCGGAGCCGCACAGCCGGGAGGAGGUGCCCAGCAUCGCACACCACCCGCGUGGUGAUGAGAAUCAUCGUCCUUCCCUUUGCACCUGCCCUUUGCCUGGCUCAGCGUGGCUUCCUGGGACAGGUGUGUGUCCCGAAGCACUAAGAGGCUGCUGGUGUCUGGGGGCCCUUUUAGAGGAGAGUCGGAAAAGCCACCUGCAGUGAAGGCAGGUCACCAAUUCUUGAGCUGAUUUCCACCGUGUUUGAAGAUGUCUGGUGACUCGGGCUCCUCAGAGGGGGAGCCUCGUGGCGGAAGUAAGCCUUGGCUGUGGCGAAGGACCCUCAAGGGUGCCCUGCGGUGCUUUCCAGGGACUUCGGCCAGUCGGGGUCCAUCCCGGCAACAGGCUGUCUUCCAUGCCUGUUGUGCGGAAUUGGUCUUCUCUGUUGUACUUUCUUGUUGCUGUGAUUCUCACAGAUGAAAAGUAGGGUUUGCAGCAGAAUCUGUGCCUGGGGAACGUGAUCAAACUUCUUGCCUAAAAGGAGCCUUUGUGUGGGUGUUCGUACUUCGCCUUGCGUAGCUGUGCGGUAUCAGUGUUAGGAUCCUGCCCGUCCGUGAACACUUCUGAUCCACUGUCCACAGGCCGGUGGCUUGGCGCAAGCCUGCUGUGCGGUCACCUUUCGCUCACUGAGUCACCAUCACGGGACCUUGACCACCUACCUGCCCCUCCCGUGCACCUCGUGCAGUGCCUGGUGAUGGGGCUGCCGUUUGCUGUUCCGGACCGGCAGGCCACACCUUCACACUGCGGGACGUGUCCGCCCUGCGGUGCGGAGCCGCCUCCUUCCUCCCGCGCUCCAACCUCACCACCCACAGUAGAGUUCCUUCUUUCAAGGAACGGUCGGUUAGGUUCGUCUUUCGGAGUCUGGGGCUGUUACGGCACCGGUGGGCGGCAGAGGCCUGGCUUAACCCGACGGCCCAAGGACUCUCUGCAGCAACUCACUACUCAUCCUCAUCCGGAGAAUAUCUGGUUCUGUGCUACAACUUCCCAGCUAGAAGUCACUUGUUCACACGUUUCAGAUACGAAAUGUAAAAACCAAGACCCUUAUUAGGAUGCGCUAUGGCACAGCGAUUGUGGCCCAUUGUGUCAGAGUCUCGAAAACGGCCACAGGGUAUGUCUGGGGAUACCCAGGAGCCCCCAUCCUGUGUGGGAGCGGCAUUCCCAAACUUUUGGGGAACACGGCCUGAGAAGGCUCGUAAAGCUGCAGACCGUGCGUGAAUGCGGGGAGAGUCAGAAUGCCUUCUCGGCCUUUCUGACGGAGGCCGAGGGAGCCGGAAGGGAGCACAGAUUCAAGAUGCGGCUGCCACAACCCAGUGUUCGAAACACAUUUGCCCACAGUGUCAACCCCACACGUCACCAGCACCGCUUUGUAGUGAGGUAUGUAUUGUCCUCUGUCGUCUUGGUUUUGGCCACAAUUCGCCUCCUUGUGGAAGUGGUGUGCUGUAAGAGAAUCCGAAAAACCAAAACGCAGAGCCCCACCAGUCUCCAGGCAGUGGACCAGAUCUGGACGACGAGUGGAAAUACUUUGUGAUGCCCCAGUGUGAAUAAUAGGACACGAAUCACAGAGGGUUGUGUCUUUCCACCUGCACGCAUCCGCUGCUUGCCUGAGGCAACGGGAGAUCAUGUGUUGCUUGUGACCACCCAGUGGUUCAGAUCCAGCCCCUAUGACCUCUGGGGGGCUCUCCACGCUGGUGUGAGAAUGACAGCACCUGUAAGUAGGGUGUGAGCUGAUGGAAAGCAGUGUGCUGUGACCACAGCCCAGGACACACGUUACAGGUGACCAGGGGCAAUUGUUCGAAUUUCUCAGCAAGGCCCCUGGUGCAGCCAGCCGGUCCAGCUAACGUCACCCUCCUGAGACCCAGGUCUCGAGGGUUGUUCCCACCCCGUGCUCCCCAGUGGAGCCCGAAGGCCAGCCUGCGGCCAGCGCCCCUGACUCCUUGCAGUCAGGAACCUCCUUCUGAGCACCAGGGCGUUGGCUCUUCUGGCUUUGACCUGUGAGGCUCUCCUACCACCAGGCUACGCAGCCUCCUCGUGACAACAGAAUCACUGUGGAUGACGUCCACUCACCCACAGCUGAAACUCGCGCUACCAGGAAGAGCCGCGGGGCUUGGUGGCUGGCCAGUAGACUGCAUAAAUACAAGACUCCACGUGGCUCGGCUUCACGCCAAAUGUCAGAAAGGGAAGGCCAGUGUGCCCCCCAACUUUUGGGCUUGGGGAGCGUGCACGGAGUGAAACCAAGAGGGCAAUGAGUGAAGGCGGUGUGGAACAGGACGGUCUUUCCCUUCUGUGUGACUCCUGCCAAGACCACCCACGGCAAGUCCCCGAGGGUGGAGCGCCUGGGAGCCACCUCUCAGCCGGAUGCAGGGCUGGUGUCCCUUCCACCCUCCAGAGGAGAGCCAGACGGCCACAUUCAUUCCUCUUGUUACACUCUUGCUCAAGGUCAGCACAAGGGGCCGCGAAUGCCGCUCACUUGUGUGGGGAGGUGGGCGCCCUUGGCCACCGGGUGAGUGGAAACUCUCCUUGGAUCGGCUGUGGCCACAGCCACGCUAGGAUCCCACCCUCGCCCACACUUUUGACGGGGCGACUUUUGAUUGCUGCAUUAGGCAACGCUUUGUGGUAAACAUCAGGGUUGUCACCAGGAAGGGUGCCACGUUAUGCUUAUGACUUUAAACAACCCAGUUUUCAAAUCUACUUUGGAAUCUGAGUGAACGUGAACUAGUCCGUGUCUCCGAGGUGACCUGGUGCCAAACACUUCUCCGAGUUGGAGACACUUCCCAAGCUUCCCUGUGGGCCUGUUGUUUGGACUCUUGUCAGCAGCUCCCCCAACUCUGCUAAUGAGGUUUCUGAUAUCGUUGGACUGUUCCAGAACAUUCCAUCUCAGAAACGCUGGCAAGCCUCCUGGCACCGAGAAAGAUGCUGCUUGUGAGUGACUGUCAGCCUCGGCUCUGCAUCUGGAGAAGCUGGUUAUCUUGGGAUCUGUCCCCCUAAAAACCCUCCAGACUCUUUUCUGCAGCCACCUCGAAUCUCAUUCCACCCAGUGCUCACUGCGCAGAAAUCAGACUCUGAACUUGCCAGGCUCCUGAGUCUGGGUGGAGUCUGGAGAUGGGUCGGGUCUGGGUUUCCCAUUCUGCAGAGCCCGCCGGACUCACCUCGCCCAGGCAGCGCUGCACCCCGAAGCCUCUUCCAGGCCUGGCGCCCUCCCCCAGCUCCCCCAUCCUACGGCAGGUGCUGCCCGGCAGAGUUGUGGCUGCCGGGGACCAAGGACACGGAGCCGGCACCCAGGCGGCCGCUCCCGGAAGCUGGCAGAAGCAUGCUGCUGCCCGUGUAGACGCCUCCUGGCAUGGAAGGGCUGGGCCAGCGCCGGAGAUGGGAGUUCACGCCUCUGUGCGGGUGCUUAACCUUUCCUGCCUGUUGACUUAGGAGCAAAGCCAGUCAGGAAAUAGGCCCGAGAGCCAGAGGGCACCCAGCCCACGUCAACUCAGUACCGACGGAGCACCCACCGUGCUCACCCCUGACAUCCUGCACUGCGCAAAUGUCCCCAGUAGCAGGGGAUUUGGGCCACAGAGUGAAAACCUGCAGUGGUGUGAGUCUGUGUUCUCCACAUCUCAUACCUGCCAAUACCUAUAUUUUCAGAAUAGAUUUUUGAAGAGCAAACAACCGUGUAUCACAGAGUAAGAUGUACACCCCAACCCAAGGAUCUUAGAGCAAACACGGUGAGUGAAAUAAGGAAGUUACAGGCAGGGCAUGAAGGGCGGUCUCCAGAAGAGGGGGCUCAGGCGGGGUGGGACCUGGGCGAGGGGUCCCAGACACCUCCCCGCACGGUUCCUGGCAGCGGCUGGGCUGUGACGAUGGUGCUCUCACUGGCUGGUCUCACACGGCUGCGUUUUAAUUCUGAUGUCCAGGCCACCGCCCACCAAAACUGGAGCAGAGUUGGUUAUAUACAUAUAUAUAUAUUUUUUUUUUGUAUACAUAUAUAUAUAUAUAUUUUUUUUAGUUUAUUUUGAGACAGAGAGAAGGGGUGCACACAAAUUGGGGAGGGGCAGAGAGAGAGAGAGAGAGAGAGAGAGUAUCCCAAGCAGGCUCCAUGCUGUCAGCACGGAGCCCGACGUGGGGACUGAAACACAAACUGUGAGAUCAUGAGCUGAGCAAAAGCAAGAUUCCGACACUCAACCGACUGAGCCCCCCAGGCGCUCCCCCCUUUUACUUUCUAGAGAAGCAGUUACCAGAUCACUCAGAAUUUGAUGUGGCUUGCAUUAUAUCCCUGCAGGACAGCAUGGGCCCAGAUCCUUCAGGCCAGGACUCCUAGGGACCUCUGGUUGACUUCUGCCUCCCUCCUGGCCCCACCCCUGCCUAGGCUCCUCCUGGUCCAGGAGCACCGGUGAGUGUCCUGCCCUGGCCUGCCCAGGCCCUGUCCGCCUGCCCUCCUUGCACUGAUUGCACACAGUACUGUGGUGGUUUGGGUGCCAUCUGCCUGGCACCCACUGGCUCCUUGAAGGACGGACAGUAGCUGAUUCACAGGUCCAGCUCUGUGUUUGUGUCAAUCAACCAACCUUCACCGCCGGGAGGAGGGAGGUAACAGGGACCUACUGUGAAGACUGGGCACCUGAGUAACUUGCUUUUUCCGACAGUCCUCAUUUAUAUCAGUGCUCACAGUUGUGACAGCUGGGCAAUCAUUGGAUGUAAAUGGGCAGGUCCUCACUAGAUUCUUUCCAAGGGCUCCCCUCUGGGUACCACGCCUGCAAGGUUGCAGGUGCCAGCACUCAGCCUGCGGCCCUAGUGCCUGGUGAGCGUCCGGGGCAGACACUUGGGCCUCGCUGGCUGUGGUGCGCUGGGAAGCUAAGUGUGCUUGCUGGGGAUGGUGGGGGGGGGUCGGACACGGACGAGGUCCUAGUAGCUCUGCUAUGUGUCAGGGGCGGGGCUGUGGGGACGGAGGGCCAUCUGCCAUCUUGUAACCCUGCGACCACCUGCACACCUGACUGUGGGUCACUCAGACCCCUGUUCCUUCUCCCCCCUUGCCCACUUGGGACUGUCGAAGCACCUGCGCCCAUGUGCACCGUGCACAUGACAUUGGAGUUUGUUCUUGGUCUGUCUGUGCAACUGUUCAUCUGAGGUUCUGACUCCGAGGCCAGGAGGCCAGGAGGCCAGGAGCUGGGGCUGGAACGAGACACCGCUCCCCACCCCUCCCCCUCAGCAGCUGCAGAGCCUUGGUGAAUUGUUUGCUUCACUGAACCUCAAUGUUCUCUUCGAGAAACUGGAGAUAAUGAAAGCACGUACCGAGGCAGGAAGAAAACUGUCCCCAAAGAGGUCCAUGUCCUAGUCCUCAGAACCCGUGAGUGCUACCUUCUGUCAUGGAAAGGGAUGUGAUUAUGGGCAUGGAGCCUUGAGAUGGGGAGAGUGCUCUCGAUCAUCUGGUCCCCUUCUAAUUAUGCCCGUUCUUAAAAGUGGGGACUCUUUCCCCACUGUGUCACAGAGACAUGUGGCCACAGAGGCAGGGUCUGAGAAAUGACACGCCGCUAUCUUAGAAGAUGGAGGAAGGGAUGUGAGCCAAGGAAUGUGGAAGCUUCUAGAAGCUAGAGAAGUCAAGGAACAAAUCCCCCAAGUCAGCUUAUAAAUCCGGGGCAAUGUCCGUGCUUUGUAUUUCAGUAUACCUCACAGUAGCUAGAAUGGUGCUGGGGCCAUAAAAUAAUAAAAUUUAGAGAUUUAGAACUGGAAAGGAUCUCUCCGAUGAUUUUGUUCUACCACGAUAAGCAAUGUGUUGAUCACAGAUGGAUGGCUGGUGGAGAGAUAGAUGGGUAAGUAGAUGGGUGCUUGCGUAGAUAGAUGGAUGGGUGCGUGGGUGGAUGAGUGGAUGGACGAAAUAGCUAGCAGCCUAAAGUGAGGUUUUGAGCUAUUUGUGGGAUUUCUAAAUAAUUUCAAUCCUUCCAUCAGAGUUCCACCUGUCUCUUUUCCUCUCUUUGUAAGCCAUACAUAAUAGAAAAGUUGACUGAGUUAACUCUAACCUGAGUUAAAUAUUGAUCCUUGAGAACUCCGUGUUGAAUAAGACCAAAACAUCUAUGGUCAUUUACAUGUAACACUCAGAUAUCAUGUAUCCUUCAGGUUCAUUAAAUGCAUCAGAAUGCACUAGAUCCCAAAAGGGGAGGUGAAGAGUGAGGAGGUUUCCAGGUUUCUGGAGACGCACAGAUUCACCUAUAAUUCAUCUGUCACAUGGACCAAUGGCGACAGAAGGGAGAGGUUGAGAAACUUUGGGUGGUUCAGGAUUUAUUCAUAGGCUUGGCACACCAGAAGACAUGAUGAUCAAAAAUAUGGCCCUUAAAAUACAAAUGCCAUGGGUUCUCAAAAUAGUGGAAAUGGAAUCAUUAAUAUAGAAGCACAAGAGAACCAAACAAACCAAUUCUCCUAAUUUCUGUUACUUCUGUGAGUUGUUACUACUCCUCUGGCCUUGCCCCCAUUCCUAAAUUGGAUCUUUCAUGACCUCAGAUCAAGUCUGUCACUGUGAACACUACUGUCUUCAGAAAGCAGUCCAGGCUGCGGGCCUCCCACAAGGCAGUCACCGAGGACAGGGGCCUCCUUGUAGCCCUGCUACAGACUUGUCGCUGGCACAGCCCCCUCCCAACAGAUGUUGGUCGAGUUCAUGAACUAAUCAGUUACAUAUUGUUAUUUAGCCAGUUUCCAUCUUCGCAUUGGGACAGACCUCAAGCCCAGAGAUGGUAUGAGACUUGACACAGCUAGUUAAUGGCAAACCACAGCUGGAAUCCAUGUCUGUUCAUAACUAUGCCAACACUUUUCCACCUUAAGAUACUCCAGAGAGGGGGCUCGUCCUCUCCUGUGGAAUGAGGCCAGGGCCCCGUGGGGUCUCAUUGGACCAUAAGGCUUCCUGUUCCCAAGUAUUGGAGGAGUCUCUGGUUUAUUAAAAUCAUCGGAGUCAUUCAAGUUCCUGUUCCAUUUAUAGCCCAGCCAUCAGAUGAGCUGUGGUGGCCCUAUUUCUGUCCCAGGCUCUUGGUGUCAGGGCUGGCUCCUUUGGGGUCAUGGAACAGGAUUUCCAUUCCAGACUUGCACCACAUAGCCCCAAGGAUGGAUGGCAGGUGGCUCAGAGCUAAAGUUUCCAACUGAGACGCAUCCAUUCAACACGUGUUUAUUUCAUACUAACAUACUGGGCACUGCUGUAGGCUCUGGGGCACAGAAGUGAGCAAAUCAGAAGCCCACGCAAUGGAAUACUACACAGCCAUGAAAAAGAAUAAAAUCUUGCCAUUAGAAACAACAUGGAUAGACCUAGAGGUUGUUAGGCUAAGUGAAGUAAGUCAGACAGAGAAGGAAAAAUACCCUAUGAUUCCACUUAUAUCUGGAAUCUAAAAAACAAAACAAAAAACAGAAAGAAGCUCAUAAAUACAGAGAACAAAUAGGGGUCUGCCAGAGAAGAGAGAGUUAGGAAAUAGACGAACUAGGUGAAGGAGAUUAAGAGGUGCGAAUGUCCACUUAUAAAAUAAGUAAGUCAGGGGAUGAAAAGUACAUAGCAUAGGGAAUAUCGUAGGGAAAAAAAAUCCUGCAACUUUAAUGAAUUCACUUAUCAGUUCUAAUAGUUUUUUGGUGGAAUCUUUAGGGUUUUCAAUAUGGAGUAUCGUAUCAUCUGCAAAGAGUGAAAGUUUUGCUCCUUCCUUGCUGAUGUGAAUGCCUUAAUUUCUCCAUCUUGUCUGACUGCCGUGGCUGGGAUUUCCACUACCACAUUGAAUAAAAGUGGUGAAAGUGGACAUCCCUGUCUUGUUCCUGAUCUCAGGGGAGAAGCUCUCAGCUUUUCACCACUGAGGAUGAUGUUAGCUGUGGGGUUGUCAUACCUUUAUUAUAUGGCCUUUAUUAUAUUCCGUCUAUACUUUGUUGAGAGUAUUUAUCAUGAAUGGGUGUUGACUUUAAAGUUUUCGCUCUGUAACCAUGGAGUACGAUUUUAGUUGCAGAUUGUUCACGUAUGGGUCACGUUAAGAAAGUUUCCUUCUAUUCCCAGUUUAUUGAGUGUUUCCAUCAUGAAAGGGCAUUGAAUUUUCUUAAAUUCUUUUUCUGCAUCCAUUAAGAUGAUUAUAUGUUUUUUUCACUUCCAUUCUAUUAAUGUAUCAUAUUCCACUGAUUAAUCUUCAUACGUUGAACCAUUCUUGCAAUCCAGGAAUAAAUGCUUCUUGGUAAUGGUGUGUGAUCUUUCUAAUAUGGGGUGAAUUCAGUGUGCUAGUAUUUUGUUGAGGAGUUUUGCAUCAAUAUUCAUAAGGGAUGGUGGUCUAUGGCUUUCUUGCAAUGUCUAUGUCUGGUUUGGGUAUCAUGGUAAUUUGAUAACUUAAUUUUUUAAAUCCUUGCCUUUUAAAAUAAAUUCCAAGGAUGGGGUGAAUAUACCUUUCUACAUAAUUAAAUUUGGUAUAUUCUAGAACAGGUGCGGUUACCUGCCUAAAUGUACUUACUAAAAAAUAUUUCCCAUUCCUAGUUUUGUAACACCUGAGAAUAUCACUUCAAUUAUUUCGAGGGGUUUUAACAUAUCUUUCAAAAGUUUUCAAAACAAAGUUAUACUUAAUUCAGCUUAAUUAAAGAAGUCCUUUUUGGGGUGUAAUAUUGCAAAAAUUAUACGAUAAAGAUAGAUAUCAAAUUUCAAAUUUCCUUUUGAGAAAAUUGCUUCCCCUAAAACAUUUCCUUUCAUGGUUUUAAAGACACGUGUCAUACAUUUUGACACUUAAACCCAAAUCUGAAUACUUAGUUUACUUCAACCAUUAUGCAGAACUAUUCCUUUUCUAAAAGGGUAAAUUGCUUCUAUUAUACAGUUGCAAAAUACCUGGGAAAAAAGUAAUUUGCACCUCCAUUCCUCUCUAAAGUGUAUUCCUUUUGCAUGUCUAUGAACUUCAUAUAAAUUUAUAAAAUUUUAUAGCAUUUUCUGAUAUUACUAUAGCCAGCCACAUUAGCUCUCUUGAAAUUAGAUUUUGCACGGUGGGUCUUUUUCUGUCCUUUUACUUUCAAUCUAUCUAUGUCUUUAAGUUUCAAACAUGCUGAUGUAGAUAGAAGAUAGUUAGAUUUGGUUUUCUCCCAGUCUAAUGAUUCUAUUCGAAUAUUCAGACUAUUUCUAGCUAAUGUAAUUCCUGACAAAGCUGGGGUUAAGUCUGCCAUCUUGCUCUUUGUUUCCAUUUGUUCUUUAUUCUUUCUUUCCUCCCUUCUUUCCAUCAAUAAGUAAUUGUUGGUAUUUCAUUUAUUGUUUCUAUUGGCUUUUUAGCUGUGUCUUUUUUAAAAAUAUCUUUUAAUGGUAAUUCUAGUGAUUACAAUACACACCUUCAGUUUAUCACAGUCUACCGUAAGUUAAUGUUCUAAAACUUCAUAUUCAUUGUAAGAAACAGUAUAAUAUUCAUUUAUUCCUUAGCACAUCGCGUUGUUGUUGUUUUACUUUUAUGUGCAUCAUAACCCCCCAAUAUGCCAUCAUCACCAUUAUCAUCAUCAUCAUCACUAUUUCUUUAUUUUUAAAAAGUCUUGUAGUAUUUUAUUUGAAUAAAGCCAUUAAAAUGGCCUGAAACAAAAUGAUCAGCAUAAAAGGAAAUUACAGCGUCACUAUAUUUAUACAAGAGGGAGCAGCAAGGGGCACAUUUGGAAGUGCCUAUAACACUGUUCGAUCGAUCCACGUUAAAUACCAUAAAAGUAGUCAGAAUGCAGCGUCAUAUACAUACCACUGAAAAGGAAAGGGGAACAUUUACAGAGUUAAACUUUUGUAUAACAUGUGAGUUUUGAUAGGCUAUGUUUAAGUUAGCAAAAAGCCUUACAGUUUGUGUGAAAUUGUCGUGUGCCCUAAUCUCACCCACCACUAGAUCAAGACACUGAAACUGAGAAGAGUUCCUUCCUUAUUUACAGCUUUAUUCUUGACAUCCCUCUUUGAGACCAAAACGAUUGUGGAGCUGACUCGUACCUGGAGUAAUUACAAAAUACCACGGUCAUAACAACAAGAGCCAAAAGAAGUAUCGACCAUCGUUUUACUUUUCAACUUCUGAGGUCACCUACAACACAGUGCAAGAAAGCACAAUUGUGCAUUCACGAGUUGACUGUACCAACCUCUGUAAAAAUUUAGGAACGAGCACAUCCAAGUAAGUGGAUACUUCUUUAUCUCACAGAGUAAAAUCAAGCAUUUUCUACUUUAAAAUUAUUUCUGUGUAAAACAAAGACAGAACUCUUGGAGGUCAAACAAGGAAAACAGAUAGCAAGUGGAACGCACCGUUAAGUCAUGAAACAAAGAAGAAUCUGCAGUAGAAGUCAGGCAGUAUAAUCCACAACCUUUUUAGAGGAGUACUUAUUCCCAGCAACCAUCACAUCUCUGGUAAGAUCUCAUUAAAAAAAAAAAAAGUCACAGGUUCUAAAAAGUUAAUAAUCCACUCUCUGAAAUCAGGUAUAAAACUAUGACCAACAGAAGAUACACAGAGUAAACGGUUUUACUAAAAGCUGUUGACGUUUCCACCAGCAGUAACCAUAGGGAGCUGGCUGGUUGUAACCACAGUGUCCAUAUCCAUGGGGGUAGUAAGUUUCAUGUCUAUACUGCAGGUAACUGUUACCCCAGGAUUGUCCAUGCCGCUGAUUGGAUCGAGUGUCAGUUUGCCACCCCCACCGGUUUGACCUCUAAACAGUCUAUUACCUUGCAACUGAUUGCCUCUGUGUCUCUGGCUCCCAGCAGCUCGGCUGUUCUACUCCUCAACAAUUGGAAGGAGACCCAGGAGGGCUCUUCAGGUAUUCAUGGUACUCUUUGCCAUCUUCUGUGAAUGUACUGGCAAACGUCUCUUCAAAAUUUGGAACAGCUUCAGAAGGGUCUGUAUUCCUGAAAUUCCCAGCAACUUAAGGCAGCUUUACUGUUUAAUGUUUA